rnacentral:rRNA from 1 species
CCAAUGAGUGAUUGAAUGGCUGCGGUAUUUUGACCGUGCUAAGGUAGCAUAAUCAUUUGUCUUUUAAUUGAGGGCUUGUAUGAAAGGUUGGAUGAAGUAAUAACUUUCUUUAAUUUAAUUUAUGAAUUUAAUUUUUAGGUUAAAAAGCUAAAAUGUUUUUAUAGGACGAGAAGACCCUAUAGAUCUUUACAGUUUGUUAGGUAUAAUGAUUUGGUGAAUUAUUUAUUAUUAUUCAAUGAUUUUGUUUGAUUGGGGUGAUUGUGGAAUUCUUUUAACUUCCAUUAUUUUUUUUCAAUGAUUAUUGUUUUAUUUGAUCCAUUAGUAAUGAUUAGAAGAUUAAGUUACCUUAGGGAUAACAGCGUAAUUUCUUCGGAGAGUUCAUAUUGAUGAGGAAGUUUGCGACCUCGAUGUUGGAUUAAAAUUAGUGUUAGGUGUAGCAGCUUAAUAACUAGGUCUGUUCGACCUUUAAAGUUUUACAUGAUCUGAGUUCAGACCGGCGUAAGCCAG